AGAGUUUGAUCCUGGCUCAGGACGAACGCUGGCGGCGUGCUUAACACAUGCAAGUCAAGGGGGCCCGCAAGGGCAACCGGCGAACGGGUGCGUAACACGUGAGCAACCUACCGAGAUGUGGGGGAUAGCCGGCCCAACGGCCGGGUAAUACCGCAUACGCUCUCUUUGGGGAGUCCUAGAGAGAAGAAACCUUUCGGGGG
rnacentral:rRNA from 1 species